GUGGGGAAUCUUCCGCAAUGGACGAAAGUCUGACGGAGCAACGCCGCGUGAGUGAUGAAGGUCUUCGGAUUGUAAAGCUCUGUUAAUCGGGACGAAAGAGCCUAGUGUGAAUAAUGCUAGGAAGUGACGGUACCGGAAUAGAAAGCCACGGCUAACUACGUGCCAGCAGCCGCGGUAAUACGUAGGUGGCAAGCGUUGUCCGGAAUUAUUGGGCGUAAAGCGCGCGCAGGCGGAUCUGCCAGUCUGUCUUAAAAGUUCGGGGCUUAACCCCGUGAUGGGAUGGAAACUACAGAUCUAGAGUAUCGGAGAGGAGAGUAGAAUUCCUAGUGUAGCGGUGAAAUGCGUAGAUAUUAGGAAGAACACCAGUGGCGAAGGCGACUUUCUGGACGAAAACUGACGCUGAGGCGCGAAAGCCAGGGGAGCGAACGGGAUUAGAAACCCCGGUAGUCC
rnacentral:rRNA from 1 species